GGACAAUGGGCGCAAGCCUGAUCCAGCCAUGCCGCGUGUGUGAUGAAGGCCUUAGGGUUGUAAAGCACUUUCGCCGGUGAAGAUAAUGACGGUAACCGGAGAAGAAGCCCCGGCUAACUUCGUGCCAGCAGCCGCGGUAAUACGAAGGGGGCAAGCGUUGCUCGGAAUCACUGGGCGUAAAGCGUACGUAGGCGGGUCGUUAAGUCAGGGGUGAAAUCCUGGAGCUCAACUCCAGAACMGCCCUUGAUACUGGCGAUCUUGAGUUCGAGAGAGGUUGGUGGAACUGCGAGUGUAGAGGUGAAAUUCGUAGAUAUUCGCAAGAACACCAGUGGCGAAGGCGGCCAACUGGCUCGAUACUGACGCUGAGGUACGAAAGCGUGGGGAGCAAACAGGAUUAGAUACCCUGGUAGUCCACGCCGUAAACGAUGGAUGCUAGCCGUUAGGCAGCUUGCUGCUUAGUGGCGCAGCUAACGCAUUAAGCAUCCCGCCUGGGG
rnacentral:rRNA from 1 species